rnacentral:rRNA from 1 species
GGAUGCGAUCAUACCAGCACUAAAGCACCGGAUCCCAUCAGAACUCCUAAGUUAAGCGUGGUUGGGCGAGAGUAGUACUAGGAUGGGUGACCUCCUGGGAAGUCCUCGUGUUGCAUUCC